rnacentral:rRNA from 1 species
UACUCGAGUGGCGAAAGGGUGAGUAACACGUGGGUGAUCUGCCCUGCACUUCGGGAUAAGCUUGGGAAACUGGGUCUAAUACCGGAUAGGAGCCAUCUUUAGUGUGGUGGUUGGAAAGUUUUUUCGGUGUAGGAUGAGCUCGCGGCCUAUCAGCUUGUUGGUGGGGUAAUGGCCUACCAAGGCGGCGACGGGUAGCCGGCCUGAGAGGGUGUACGGCCACAUUGGGACUGAGAUACGGCCCAG